rnacentral:rRNA from 1 species
AGAGUUUGAUCCUGGCUCAGAACGAACGCUGGCGGCAGGCUUAACACAUGCAAGUCGAACGCCCCGCAAGGGGAGUGGCGCAAGGGUGAGUAACGCGUGGGAAUCUGCCUCUUGGUACGGAAUAACCACGGGAAACUGUGGCUAAUACCGUAUGGUCCCUUCGGGGUAAAGAUUUAUCGCCAAGAGAUGAGCCCGCGUCAGAUUAGCUAGUUGGUGGGGUAACGGCCUACCAAGGCUUCGAUCUGUAGCUGGUCUUAGAGGACGAUCAGCCACACUGGAACUGAGACACGGUCCAGACUCCUACGGGAGGCAGCAGUGGGGAAUAUUGGACAAUGGGGGAAACCCUGAUCCAGCCAUGCCGCGUGAGUGAUGAAGGCCUUCGGGUUGUAAAGCUCUUUUGUCAGGGAAGAUGAUGACGGUACCUGAAGAAUAAGCACCGGCUAACUUCGUGCCAGCAGCCGCGGUAAUACGAAGGGUGCUAGCGUUGUUCGGAAUUACUGGGCGUAAAGGGCGCGUAGGCGGCCGUUCAAGUCAGGAGUGAAAUCCCUAGGCUCAACCUAGGAAUUGCUUUUGAGACUGAAUGGCUCGAGUGUAGGAGAGGUGAGUGGAAUUCCCAGUGUAGAGGUAAAAUUCGUAGAUAUUGGGAGGAACACCGGUGGCGAAGGCGGCUCACUGGCCUAUAACUGACGCUGAGGCGCGAAAGCGUGGGGAGCAAACAGGAUUAGAUACCCCGGUAGUCC